CAGUAGCCACGGUAAUACGAACCGUGCGAACGUUAUUCGGAAUUACUGGGCUUAAAGCGCGUGUAGGCGGGCCGCCACGUCGGUUGCUGAAAUCCCCCGGCUCAACCGGGGAAGUGGCAUCGAUACGAGCGGCCUUGAGGGGGGUAGGGGGAUCUGGAACUUCCGGUGGAGCGGUGAAAUGCGUUGAGAUCGGAAGGAACGCCCGUGGCGAAAGCGAGGUCCUGGACCCUUUCUGACGCUGAGACGCGAAAGCCAGGGGAGCGAACGGGAUUAGAUACCCCUGUAGUCCCUGUCUCUUAUA
rnacentral:rRNA from 1 species